rnacentral:lncRNA from 1 species
UGAGCACGGGGCCGGUGGUCUUGGUGCUCUUCACCUCCUUGAGGAUGGUGACGAGGUCGUCCAUGUUGUGGCCGUCGACGGGGCCGAUGUAGUAGAGGCCGAGCUCCUCGAACAGGGUCGAGCCAGACCCGCUGAUCAUCCCGCGAGCGUACUCGUCAACCUUGGCAGCCAGCUCAUGCAUCGACCCCCCAAUCUGCUUCGUAACUCCCUGGUGCAUUUGACGAAGAAGAUCAUUAAAAUAAAUAAAAUGAAACGCCCAAUUUAUCUCUUCUUCACUCACUACCCAUCAAAUUCGGGGGAAAGAACUAAAAGUCAACGCCGAUCUAAAGCCCCAGUAAUAGAUAUCAGGCGGAGCCAUUGGUUGGGUGCGGUGCGCUUACUUUGGCGACCUCUCUGAGCUCUCGAAGAGGCCUGCUGGACUGGAGCCUGCUGAGGGCGCUGCUCAAAGCCCCAACCGGGGGCGCCGGGCCGUCAAGAGUGGCGGUGGGCAAGGAAACCUGCUUGUUAUCAUUCAGGAUGACGAUCAUGUCCGAGUCAAGGUACCCGGCAUUGUUCAUCGCCUCGUAGGCCUGCCCGGCUGUCAUGGCCCCGUCGCCGAUGACGGCGAUCACGUCGUUCUUCCUCCCCUUCAGGUCCCU